ACUAUUUUGUGAAAGAACCUAUAAAAAGGAAGGAAGGGGUGAGCGAGUGAGAAAAACAGCAGAGAGGAGGGCAGAGACACUCGAAGAAGAGCAGCUGACAAGAAGAAUUGUGUGACAAAACUGUUCUAAGUUUGCACACGUGCAAGUUUUGACUUCUCCUUUUUGGCUACAGAAGAAGUGAAGCGACAACAUGGUUCGGUGGUUCCACAGAGACAUCAGCGGCUUGGAGGCCGAGGCCAUGCUGAAGUCACGCGGUAUUCACGGCAGCUUUUUGGCUCGACCCAGCAAGAA